ACUGGGGUGUCCGUUGGGGGCCUGGCAGUCAGACGUUGCCCUGACUGAAACUGAGGUCUUUGGAGGGGGGGAAGCAACUUUUAACACCCAGAAUGCUUUCAGUUAACUGUGAAUUUGCACCUACAGUGGCCGAUGUGAAACGGGAGACGGUGGAUGGGGUCGCAGUAGACCAAGGGAACGUUUCUCUCCUAGGAAUCAGCUCUGCUCUGAAGUUCAGCUGCAAAAGAAAACGAGCCCAGAUGUUUACUGCCCUCGCCCAGGCCCAGGAAUCCAGGUCAGAGAUGUAAGAAUGAGGCUCUUCUGGUCAGCCCGACACUCCUCGCAAAGCCCCGCAGCCUCCCUUGCCUGCGCCACAGAUCAGUCUCCUGUUGCAUUAAAAUGAAGUAGCUGGGCACAAGCAAAUAAGAGGCAAUUUGAAAUGAAAAGCAGCAGCCCGUGAUGCCGGCAAGCGCUGCCUGGUGCCCGUGUUGGAGUGGGGCUGAGGGAAGACACAGGAUAAUGGAGAAAGUUUUGGUGGAGCUGGGAAUUGAGUCCAUCUUUCACAUGCU